rnacentral:misc_RNA from 1 species
AGGCAAAGUGACUAAUCAUUCCCUGUCAUCCAGGCAAAAAGGCCAAAAUAAAUGAAUAGUUAGACAAUCAGCAUGCAGAAAUUGUCCAAAUAACAGCACCAUACAAUUAUUAUAAAACUCAAAAUUCGAUGGAAAUUUUUGUGACAUCUUGCGAUUGAUUUCCUCACUAGAUGAAAAAAGUCUAAAUUUUGGGGAAAAAUCAAUAUCUACUAAAUAAGGUCCUUUCAACUGCGUAGAGCUCACAAUCCAUUUCAUAGCUUAUAGUAUAGUAAUACACACCACUCCACUUAUAAUGAGGAAUCACACUUUGCAUUAUAGUUUUCCAAUAUUUUAAGCCAAAGAGUUUGUUCACGUCCUCAUUUCUGUUUCUUAAAGUUUGAUGCUUUCUUGAGAAUCAAAUCCCUUACCAUAGUUCUCAUUUUCAAAUUCCAAAGAGAGUUUCCAGAAACUAUUUCUUUUACCAGCAUUGUACAAUUAAAUUAAUCUAGAGGAACACAAGCAGCCAACUUGCUUACCCAAGGAAGCAUUGAAGGCCACAAGAAUAAAGAAGAAAUAACAAUCCACUCUUUCAAUUAUUUAAUAUCCUAUCUCUCACCUUCGUUGGAAUAUUUUUAAUGUCCUCGCUCAUUAAUAUUUUGCUAUCACAUUAAUUUCGUAUCACUCUACAUUGCAUCCACUAGGAAGACUAAAUAAUGAGAACUCAAUACUAAGAUUAUUCAUUCAUUUAGCACCAUGAAUUAAAAGUCAUUAACUCUCAAGCAUAAAUGAAUAAAUUCAAAGAGAUUCUAACAUAAAGCAGGCAUUUUUAUUUUUCAUUUGAUAAUUAGAAUGGCCAAUUGUUAACUGGUGGUGGAAUGGAAGAACGGAAAUUUGAUUAUGGGAUUGCCUGGGUGAACAAUGAAGUGGGUUACAACCUACAAGCUCCAUGCAAAAUGCAAACUCGCUAAUGAUGCAAGGUUGUUAUAGUCAACCCAUUGAAACCAAGUCAAGCACGCAAACACCUAAAAAGAAUGCGAAUGAUAAUACCACAAGAAACUAAGUAAACGAAGAUGUAAACAACGUAAUCACACUAGGAAAACCCCAAAAAUACGGUAACGUCCAAAUUUUCAAAUCAAUGUCUACUUACGACAUCGGCAACUUAAAAAUUAAGGGGAAAAAGAAAUAGACGCUCUGCUUGGAUAUAGAAAAUGCAGGAAAAAAGAGAAAAAUCCGAUGCUUCGUUGGGAUAUUAAAAAAUGCAGGUCCAUUAAGUAAUUACCAAUUAAUUUUUUACUUUAAUUUUUUUUUGUACGAAAUUAAUUUAGUUUUUUUCUUUUCCAUUUCCAGUGGGA